AAAAAGACAAACCAUGAGUUUCCGUGUCCAACGUUUGAUUGUCCAUCUUAUAUAAAUUUUUUUUAUAAUUAAUAUUUUUAUUGUUGUUAGAUGAUAAAGUAUGAUUAAUACUUUAUGCGUGACUUGUCUUUUUAAUUGUUUUCAUAAUUUUUUCAAAUAAGACGGACGGUCAAACGUUGGACACGGAAACUUAGGGUUUGUCUUUUC
rfam:Oryza glumipatula chromosome 8, whole genome shotgun sequence.